rnacentral:rRNA from 1 species
AUUGAACGCUGGCGGCAUGCCUUACACAUGCAAGUCGAACGGCAGCACGGGUGCUUGCACCUGGUGGCGAGUGGCGAACGGGUGAGUAAUACAUCGGCACGUACCUUAUCGUGGGGGAUAGCGCAGCGAAAGCUGUGCUAAUACCGCAUACGCCCUGAGGGGGAAAGCGGGGGAUCGCAAGACCUCGCGCGAUUAGAGCGGCCGAUGCCUGAUUAGCUUGUUGGUGGGGUAAAAGCCCACCAAGGCGACGAUCAGUAGCUGGUCUGAGAGGACGAUCAGCCACACUGGGACUGAGACACGGCCCAGACUCCUACGGGAGGCAGCAGUGGGGAAUUUUGGACAAUGGGGGCAACCCUGAUCCAGCAAUGCCGCGUGAGUGAAGAAGGCCUUCGGGUUGUAAAGCUCUUUUGUCAGGGAAGAAACACCGGCUCUAACACAGUCUGGGAAUGACGGUACCUGAAGAAUAAGCACCGGCUAACUACGUGCCAGCAGCCGCAGUAA